rnacentral:rRNA from 1 species
GGGGGAUAACACUUGGAAACAGGUGCUAAUACCGCAUAACCAUAGUUACCGCAUGGUAACUAUGUAAAAGGUGGCUAUGCUACCGCUUUUGGAUGGGCCCGCGGCGCAUUAGCUAGUUGGUGGGGUAAAGGCUUACCAAGGCAAUGAUGCGUAGCCGAACUGAGAGGUUGAUCGGCCACAUUGGGACUGAGACACGGCCCAAACUCCUACGGGAGGCAGCAGUAGGGAAUCUUCCACAAUGGGCGAAAGCCUGAUGGAGCAACGCCGCGUGGGUGAAGAAGGUCUUCGGAUCGUAAAACCCUGUUGUUAGAGAAGAAAGUGCGUGAGAGUAACUGUUCACGUUUCGACGGUAUCUAACCAGAAAGCCACGGCUAACUACGUGCCAGCAGCCGCGGUAAUACGUAGGUGGCAAGCGUUAUCCGGAUUUAUUGGGCGUAAAGGGAACGCAGGCGGUCUUUUAAGUCUGAUGUGAAAGCCUUCGGCUUAACCGGAGUAGUGCAUUGGAAACUGGGAGACUUGAGUGCAGAAGAGGAGAGUGGAACUCCAUGUGUAGCGGUGAAAUGCGUAGAUAUAUGGAAGAACACCAGUGGCGAAAGCGGCUCUCUGGUCUGUAACUGACGCUGAGGUUCGAAAGCGUGGGUAGCAAACAGGAUUAGAUACCCUGGUAGUCCACGCCGUAAAC